rfam:Brassica napus, WGS project CCCW01000000 data, contig: 15831
GUAAUAAAAGAUACGGUCUCUUAGCUUUUAACUAAAAAAGCUAAGAGACGUCUCUUAAAUAAGAUAUUUAAGAGACGUCUCUUAGCUUUUUAGUUAAAAGCUUAGAGACCGUAUCUUAUAUUAU